UACGGAGGGUGCAAGCGUUGCUCGGAAUUAUUGGGCGUAAAGGGCAGGUAGGUGGUCUUAUUUGUCUGAGGUGAAAUCCCGGGGCUUAACUCCGGAAGUGCCUCAGAAACGGUGAGACUGGAGUACUGGAGAGGGUCGUGGAAUUCCCGGUGUAGCGGUGAAAUGCGUAGAGAUCGGGAAGAACACCCGUGGCUAAGGCGGCUCUCUAGUACGGUACUGACGCUGAGACGCGAAAGCGUGGGGAGCGAACAGG
rnacentral:rRNA from 1 species